UACAGAGGUCCCAAGCGUUGUUCGGAUUCACUGGGCGUAAAGGGUGCGUAGAUGGCGAGGUAAGUCGGAUGUGAAAGCUCGGAGCUCAACUCCGAAAUGGCAUUGGAAACUACCUUGCUCGAGGGUUGGAGGGGGGACUGGAAUGCUUGGUGUAGCAGUGAAAUGCGUAGAUAUCAAGCGGAACACCAGUGGCGAAGGCGAGUCCCUGGACAACUCCUGACACUGAGGCACGAAAGCUAGGGGAGCAAACAGG
rnacentral:rRNA from 1 species